CCAGCUGGAGCAGCCCAGGCAGCCUGCGCGCUCACUCGCUUGCUUGCGCUGGGCUUCAGAGCGCUGGGAUUUCUUGCUUCAAAACAGCUGCAUUUUUGGAAGAAAGUCCACAACUGACAACUAAGUAAAACCCUCCUGGUGGAUAGCAUAAAUCUGCUUUGUUGAAGCUGCUCAUUUGUCUGAUCUAUGAGUCUAGAAGAUGCAAACUCCCUUCUCAGCUUAUGCAAAAAUACUUCCAGUAAAAACAAGCCCUUUGGCCCCUUUCUUCUGUCAGUCCAGAUUUCAGCAUGUUCUUCGCUUUGUUAUUCAUAAUUUUAUGUAUUUGGACCCAUCCUCAAACAGACUUUAAACCCUUUAAAGGCAAGGAGGGAC
rnacentral:antisense_RNA from 1 species